rnacentral:rRNA from 1 species
AGUGAACGCUGGCGGUAGGCCUAACACAUGCAAGUCGAACGGCAACACAGUAAGAGCUUGCGCUUACGGGUGGCGAGUGGCGGACGGGUGAGGAAUCCAUCGGAAUCUACUUUUUCGUGGGGGAUAACGUGGGAAAACUUACGCUAAUACCGCAUACGACCUACGGCUGAAAGCAGGGGCUCUUCGGACCUUGCGCGAUUGAAUGAGCAGAUGUCGGAUUAGCUAGUUGGUGGGGUAAAGGCCCACCUAGGCGACGAUCCGUAGCUGGUCUGAGAGGAUGACCAGCCACACUGGAACUGAGACACGGUCCAGACUCCUACGGGAGGCAGCAGUGGGGAAUAUUGGACAAUGGGCGCAAGCCUGAUCCAGCCAUGCCGCGUGGGUGAAGAAGGCCUUCGGGUUGUAAAGCCCUUUUGUUGGGAAAGAAAAGCAGAAGGUUAAUACCCCGCUGUUCUGACGUUACCCAAAGAAUAAGCACCGGCUAACUUCGUG